AGGUGCACGCAAAUCGUUGUUGAAUGUGUUUAAAGAUAUGGUAAUUGACGAUAGAUUAAAAGUUUGGGAAGAAAAAGAUCAACUGUGAGUUCAUGUGGUGCCUGCUUUUACUCCUUAUUAUGCUCCUCAAGCAAAGACUGCAAAUGCUGUUCCAGUUCUGUGUGUGGCAAGGAACGUUGCAUGUAACGUUAGAGCUGGUUUUUUUCAAAGAAUUUGAUGAGAAUUUUAUAAGGAGGGUUACUGAACACACUAUGAAGAUGAAGUUUUGAAUCUACCGUCUGCACCUGAUCUUUGCAGUUAUCUAAUGCCAGAGGUGAGUAAAUAAGAAAGCGACAUUUAGAACUUUUUUAGUUCUUGCUUAUUAUUUAAACAUUGUGUUUCGAUCGUUAUUUCCCUGUGGUUUGUCCACUUAUAUUAUUUCAGGCUAAAUUUCAAAAUUGUACCAUGUUCCUCCUUGACAUUCUCGAAACGUGUCAUAUCAGUCCAAAAAAACUCACCUCAGUUAAAAAGUUCAGUUAGUUCAGGGGUAAAAUUGUCAUUUUACAGAAGUUUAAAAACUCACCUCUGGUUCAAAUAAAGUGUGUUGCCCCAAACAAAAAGUAUAUUAAUUUUUGUUAUCUCUUUAUUCAGCUGAAAUUGUUAUGCGAAUGGUCAUGUCAUAAAUCUGAAUUAAUCGAUGUUCGGUUGAUGAUGAUGAGAUCGAUGUCACCUAAGGGAAAUUCAUCAAAACGACAUCAGCUUCUCAUCUCUUAUUAUAGGUUGUUAUAUAGAUUAUAGAUGUUCGUUUGAUGAUUUUGAGAUCGAUGUCAGCUAAGGGAUAAUCAGUCAAUGAUGUUGAUGAGAUGCUUCUCACCUGAGACUAAAACUAUGGUGUUUUUCUUGUCCUUUCAACAUGAGGCUAUGAUGAUUUUGUAGAUCUGAUUAAACAUUGAAUGAAGAUAGCAUUAUGGUAUGGCAAGGUUGUAGGAUGGUAGUUGUUCAUGCAACCUCUCUUGCAGCCAUGGUGUUGUCAUCUUUAUGCAUAAUCUGAGCCUGUCAUUCUGACAACUCGAAUGUUUUGCAAGUUCACAAUCAAUGACCUUCGCCGACGCUGUGUUGUUGAUUAAGGUUUUGAAAAGCAAUCGUGUAUAAUCGUUGUCACAUCUAUACAAGAAAAGGGAGUUUGGUUGGUCUGAAAUGUCUAUUUAGCUGUAUCUGAGGACGCUGGUAAGUUUUCCUAUUUAGCUGUGUUUUGUUUUCAUGUGGUCGUGUGGCUAUGGUGGUUUUACCAACAGAUCUUGCUGAAUUACACCCACUGUAUGUGAUGUUGCUACCGAGGCACUGUUAUUAUAUACAAUAUUAUAUAGAUUAAAUUGGAUUUAUGACAUCAGUAUGGACAAUGUGGCAUAUCUCAGUGAUUGACACGUAAGUAAAGUGACCUCACUUUGCUUACGUGUCAACUUUUGAGAUAUGCCACAUUGUCCAUGCUGAUGUCAUAAAUCCAAUUUUAAUCUAAAUAAUCUAUUUAUAUUUAUAUUUAUACUAUCUAUAAUAAGAGACUUCAGCAUGAUGUAAAUCUGCCUACGUGUCAACUCCUAAGCUAUGCCACAUGUACAUGCUGAUAUCAUAAUUCUAUUUUUUAAUUGUAAUAUAUAAUAUAACAUUUUAUUAUUAUUAUUAUUAUUAUGAGAAGAAAGAGUGAAGAAGAAAGAGAGACUUCAGAUAUGAUUACUUCUCACAGGUGAAUUAAAUGCCGAUUUCAUCUCCCAAUGCAUAUUGUAAAGUGCAUUUUUCUUGUCCUUUCAAGAUGAGGCUAUGAUGAUUUUGUAGAUCUGAGUAAAAAUUGAAUGAAGAUAGCAUUAUGGUAUGGCAAGGUUGUAGGAUGGCAGUUGUUCAUGCAACCUCUCUUGCAAUCAUGGUGUUGUCAUCUUUAUGCACAAUCUGAGCCUUGCAUUAUGACAAUACAAAUGUUUUGUAAGUUCACCAUGAAAGACCUUCGCUGAUGCUGUGUUGGUGAUUAAGGUUUUGAAAAGGAAUCGUGUAUAAUCCUUCUGACAUCUAUACAAGAAAAUGGUGUUUGGUUGGUUUGAGAUGGGUAUUUAGCUGUAUCUGAGGACGCUGGUAAGUUUUCCAUUUUUUCGUUUGUAGAUCGGUCAUAUAAAUUGACGUUUGGACCUGGUUCCUGUGAAUUUGUCACAUUCUCCUACAGAUCAUGACGGUUAGUCUCAAUUCUUUAUUGUUGUUCACUCUGAAAGAUAAGGUACUUUUACCAUCCCUGAAGAUGUUCUUGGUCUGUUUGUUCUUAGUCGUGAUUGGUCAUAUUUAGCUGUAUGUUUUUUGGUUGGUUUUGUUUGUGGUGAUGAUUUUUGGGUUGUUGUAGAUGAUGUUUAUAGAUUCAAUGAAGGCAAUCUGGAUGAUGUUUAUAGAUUCAAUGUUGUUUGUUUGUUUUUCAUUCAUUUUACUUUUCUCUUAAAUGUGUUUUCAUGAUAAUAGCAAUUUGUUGAUUACGAUGACAGUUAGUUUGAUAAGCAACAAACCGGUGUACACAUGUGGAGGCUGCGGUGCAACACUUCAAGCGAAGAAGCGGAAUAACAGUACAAUUGACACCACAUUACACAGACUGGACAACAAUUCUUCAGGAAAAACCGCUGAUGUUGAGAUUCUUGAAUCAGUGAAAAUCCGGUGCCAUAUAAAUAAGUACAGGUUAUACUUCAAGCUUUUUCGAUCUCUCUUCAGGCGGAUAGGUGGCUUUGGGAGGUAUGAAAAACAGAAUUGAUAAAUUUAGGGAAAAUGGGAUUGAAAGAUGAUUAGCCAACAGUAGAGGAUCUCAUUCUAUAGCCUCGAUAAAUUCAGGGGUGUUUUCAAAUAAUGCUUCCUAGAUGUUUGAAGCCCGAUAAAUGUCCAAAGAAGCAGCACUGUGGACAUUUUUCGUUCUUUGUUGGUUUUCAAACAUCUAGGAAACCAUUAUUUGAGAACACCCUUGCAUUUAUCGGAGUUGUAGAAUGAGAUCCUCUACUGUUGGUUAAUCAUCUUUCAAACCCAUUUUCCCUAAAUUUAUCGAUUUUGUUUUUCAUGCAAGGACAUAAUCUAUUUUUUAGUAUUUGUUUUCGCAAUGACCCAUGUUCAAAGAUAACUUAUGUUUCAGACUAUACAAAGAUUGCCUCUUGGUUAUUAUAAGGUCUCAAUGCAUCUAAUGACAGCAACCAUCAUUGAGCCAUCAUAUUCUUUCCGUUUACAUAUCAGAUUGUUUACUACAUUAUCAAGCAAAGAGAAAGAAGAAGACUUUAUGGCAAUGAAAGGGUGUAAACUCCCU